ACGUCGUGGCGGCCGCGGCCGACGCCGCCGUCGCUGGUGACGGCCGGGGUGGCGAGCGGGUCGUUCGGCACGGCCACGUCGAUC
rnacentral:tRNA from 1 species